rnacentral:misc_RNA from 1 species
CGGCCUUGCUACAGUCGGUAUACAGAUAUCAAACCUAGUACAUAUACGCGUAUUCAGAUAUCAAACUUAGUAAACUACGUGUGUCCAGAUAUCAAACUUAGUACACUACGUGUAUCCAGAUAUCAUACCUAGUACACUACGUGUAUCCAGAUAUCAAACCUAGUUCACUACGGUAUCCAGCUAUCAAACCUAGUACACUAGUGCAUCCAAAUAGCAAACUAGAACACUAUUUGCAUCCAGAUAUCUAACCUAUAGUACUCUACGUGUAUUCAGAUAUCAAAUCCAGUACACUACGUGUAUCCAGAUAUCCUGGUGAAAUACGUGUAUCCAAAACUGAUCAACAUCAAUAUCCAAAUAUCCAAACAAUAAAACUUCGUGUAUACUUCCUGGUUACGAAGUCCGUAUCUAGAUAUCCCAACAUCAACUCUGUGAACCUAUUUCUGCUUUCUAGACAAUACCUAGAUAUCCCAACAUCAACUCUGUGAAUCUAUUUCUGUUUCUUAGACAAUAUCUAGAUAUCCCAACAUCAACUCUGUGAACCUAUUUCUGUUUCCUAGACAAUAUCCGGAAAUCCAAACAAAGUCCUGUUUAACAGCCUAAUAUAAUAUAUACAUACAAAUUACAGUUCAUGUAUCAAAGCUGUUAAAGUUUUUCCAACCAUACAUAGACUGUGUAUCCAACUCAAGGCGGAUAUCCAGUGUCCAGAUUCAGAUCUGAUAUCCAACCCCUGGUAUUAAAGAAUAGGACGAUAAUCCUUGGAUAUAAACUAUUCUAGUGAAGUUAGAAAUACUCUUGUAAACCCGAAGAAAAUGUUUUUCCUUUCAUUCUACACAAGGAUAAGACUGAGAAUUUAAUCAGCAUAAUUUAACAUAUCUUUAAAGGUGAAAUCUUGAAACAAGAUGAAUCUUUUAACUGAAGGGUUUCUUCUCCUUCUUCUUCUUCCGGAGUCUCUUCUUAACUUUGAAGGACACAGAGUGAUGACACAUGAUGACUCAAUCAAAUAUAUUCCACUUGAAAAACUGACUGCUGAGAGUAUACCGGAGUUUGUUCCUGCUCCCAAGAAUAUUACUGUACUCAGAGAAGGAACUGCAUUCCUCGACUGUCCUAUUAAAACCAGCGGAGAUAGACCUGUCAGUUAUCCAUUGAUAUCCUGGGUUCGGAGGAGAGAUUGGCAUAUUCUCACCAAUGGUCUUCUUACAUUUACAACAGACAGUAGGUUCAAGGUUCUAUACAAGGAGGGAUCAUUCAACUGGGUUCUCCAGAUAAAGUGGGUUCAGGAGAGAGAUGCUGGUCAGUAUGAGUGCCAGGUCUCUACUCCUACUGGAACAAUAUCCCGUGAGGUUCAGCUCCACGUGGUUCGAACUGAAGCAUUUAUCCAGGGAGGAGAAGAAUAUCAUGUUGAUCUUGGUUCAACUAUAUCCCUCACUUGUAUCAUAGAAAAUUCUCCAACUCCUCCUCAAUACAUAUUCUGGUAUCAUAACUCCCGGAUGAUAAACUACGAUGUAGAACGAGGUGUAAAAGUGGAUAUCCGAGCUGUGGAGGAUACUGGGAAGCAGGGUGAGGAAGAUGAGGGAGUAAGACGACCUGAAGAGUGGAUUAGAACCCGUACCGUGAGUAGACUAGAGCUGCCAGCAGCUAGGAAGGAGGAUGAAGGAAACUAUACCUGUAUGCCCAGUAAUUCAGAGCCUGCUACUGUUCAUGUAUUUAUCCAAGAAGGAAACAACAUUACUCCGUUACGAGUAGAAGCACAGGAGCAACAGAACUCUGAGCAGGAGAAUACGAACUUUGCUCCUACCUUGAUAAAUCCAACUUUACUCAUGGUUCUACUCCUAGUCUUAGUAUUCACUGCAAACUAAGCUAAAUUAAAUUUUGCGAAUUCUUUAUUUUGUGUUAAUCAAGUAAUGUCGUGAAGCGCCAAAACUAAGAGGGAACUAAACUUACCUGUACAGUGUGCAAGGUUACAGUACAAUGUACGGCAGGGCUGUUCUAACUCCUGUACAAGGUUACAGUACAACGUACGGCAGGGCUGUUCUAACUCCUCAACAAGGUUACAGUACAAUGUACGGCAGGGAUGUUCUAAUUCCUGUACAAGGUUUCAGUACAAUGUACAGCUGGACUGUUCUAACUCCUGCAUAAGACAAACAAUCAACUUUGUGUUGAAAAGUGACAAUGACAUUGUAAUAAGGCUAAGACUAUCGUUAACUGUGAAUAAAAACUUUUCUGUUA